rnacentral:lncRNA from 1 species
GUGACAGACAAAGGAUUUCUCAUUAUCGGAUGAAUGCUGACAGUCUUUUGAAGAUUUGAAGAAAUAUCUUGCAUUACCACCUCUAUUAACAAAAUCGAAGGUGGAAGAAAUUCUGUAUCUCUAUUUGGCAACUUCAACAGAAGCAAUCAGUUCGGUACUCAUCCAAGAAGAUGAAAAUCAAAUUCAAUAACUGAUCUACUACACCAG